rnacentral:snoRNA from 1 species
AUGCAGUAACUUUUGAUUUCUUAUAUGAUGACUAGAGUGCAUUUGGCUCGAGACUUUUGACAAGCGUUCCGUUUGUUGAUCGUUGAUGUGGAAAAAACCACGCUACCUUAUUUAAUUAUCUCUGACA